GGAACUUCCGACGAGCUGAACAGGCACUCUCAUAUGGUCUUUUUUCUUCUCCCCGUUGCGAUCUCGCCGCUGUAAAGAUGUCCGAAGUCUUGCCUCGUACUUAGAACUGUGUGGACAUCCUCUGAACACAGAAAAGGAUUCGAGAGUAGUUUGACGCUUCGAAGAACAAUAAACGACGAUAAAACUUUACCAAGAUUGACGGAAUCCUCAAUACCAGCCAAUUGAUUUGCCUCGAGAAAAAUCCUGUCGGAUUCUUCGGGGCUGAGCUGCAGCGAGAACCUUAAUGCUUUUCUCAAUUUAUUUGCAUCCAAGCAUUUUGCACCGUUGGAAUCGCAUACCUGUAACGACGCCAAUAAUCUUCGAUUGAUUCACUCAAACCUUCUGCAUUUACCCCAAUUUGUGGCGGAGUUUAUGAGUCUUGAUGAUGCUGGAAGCGUGGGGCAGGUGCAUGGUGUGAGCUUUGCUGAUUAUUCGACAGUCGUCGACCUUCCCACGUCCAAGUGACGGUAUCGAGUUUAUUUGGAUAACGUAUGCAGACCGGUUGCACAGGAACGCCGGGAUAAAAUGCUCCGCACUUGAACGUAAUUAAGCAGGAACGAUUCGUGCACGUACCUUCCGGAAAUAUCAUGACCUAGAGACAAAAACGAAUCAAGGAUACAGGUCAUGGAAAUUUCGUAACGAUAUGGCACUGAACGUGGAGAUAAUUCGCGUCCAGCUGUUCCGAUGGCUUUCGAUGGAUCGUAUAUCGAGUGAAGGAAAAAAAAGGAAUAAAAUGAGGAGGAUGUGUGACGAGAACGUACUUCCGAAGAAUGGAAUUCGUCCAACCUCAGCCUUGGCGACG